rnacentral:rRNA from 1 species
AUUGAACGCUGGCGGCAUGCUUUACACAUGCAAGUCGAACGGUAACAGGGUGCUUGCACCGCUGACGAGUGGCGAACGGGUGAGUAAUGCGUCGGAACGUGCCGAGUAGUGGGGGAUAACGCAUCGAAAGGUGUGCUAAUACCGCAUACGUACUGAGGUAGAAAGUGGGGGACCUUCGGGCCUCACGCUAUUCGAGCGGCCGACGUCUGAUUAGCUAGUUGGUGAGGUAAAGGCUCACCAAGGCGACGAUCAGUAGCGGGUCUGAGAGGAUGAUCCGCCACACUGGGACUGAGACACGGCCCAGACUCCUACGGGAGGCAGCAGUGGGAAUUUUGGACAAUGGGCGCAAGCCUGAUCCAGCCAUGCCGCGUGUCUGAAGAAGCCCUUCGGGUUGUAAAGGACUUUUGUCCGGGAGCAAAUACCCAGUGCUAAUAACGCUGGGGGCUGAGAGUACCGGAAGAAUAAGCACCGGCUAACUACGUGCCAGCCGCCGCCGUAAUAC